AAAACAAACCCCGAACCCCGUCCUCUUCUUCCCCAACUCCUUUAUCCCAAACCACCACCACCGGCCAAUGCCAUCGCACCGACCCAACGUCGAACCCAUCGUCGCCACAAAUUAAACGUCAACCUCGAACAAGAAGCACUGAUGGUGAAACCAUGGCUGUCACCACAAAAUAAAGGCCGACGCCACCGCACCCAUGGAUCUUGAAACCAUGGCUAUUUGCGUUGAAGCAACGGUGAGGGAGUGGUGUUAGUUGGUGGCCAUGAGAGGUGAUUUGUUGGUUAGUGCGAUGAUGAUAGUUGGAUAUUGGUGAUGAUUGUGCAAAUCUUCUACUUCCUCUGAUUUUAUAUUUAUCUUCAGAAAUGUUGGUGGUGAUGGUUUUUGAGGAGCUCAGAAUAGUGGGCGAUUUUUGUGGCGGUGAUGCUUGGUGGGUGCCCACAAUUUUGGUGGUUUUUCAUUUUGGCGUGGAUGGGGUGUGAGGGUUUAGUGGAGAAGAAUAUGAAUGGUGUGUAUGUUUUUUUUUUUUUAAUUUUAUUAUUCAUAGAUUAUAAUUGUAUUUUUUUGUUAAAAACUGUAAAAUUAUCAUUUUAUCCUCUUAGAAUUAGUUAAAAUUAUGAUCAAUGUUAAUUCUUUGAUCAACUAAUGAUCAAAG
rnacentral:lncRNA from 1 species